ensembl:lncRNA
CCAGAAGAAGAAGAUCAAAACAGACAGCGGUCAGGUUAUCAGUAACAAGAAGAACAGGAAGAACUUUUAUGAGGAGUGGAAGAAAAAAUACAAGAUUGAUGAUAAAGGAUCUGGAUCAGACGGAGAAACAGGCGGAGGAGGCAGGAAGCCAGCAAGAGCCUUGCAAGCUAUAACCUCCAACCUCUUUGUUGUGUCGUGCCUCUCCCACGUCGUGGCCAUGGCCGACGAGGUCCAAACGUACAGAGCUCCGGUGACCACAAAGCACGCUCGGAGCUGAAAACAAAGGAUCAGAAAAAGCAGAAGCACCAGUUCCUGCAGGGCGGGGG